GCUCCUCUCCCUGAGGCCUGUGGUGACUGACAGAAAGACAUCAGAACAAAGGCUGCUAUGCCUGGACAUGCACAGGUCCCUCUUGGACGAGAAAGUGAGUCCCGAGCAGCAAGUUGGGCACAUGACUCACACUUACCAUGGGAGCAAGGAGCCCCAUAGCCCCCCACCCAGACUUCUCAGGAAGGCCUUCCAGGUCACCCCAGAAAGAGCUUCCUGCCUUGUUGCUUGUGAAUGUCUUCCCCUGUGAGAAAGCCCUUUUAACCAGUCAUGUUCUCAGUUACAGGGAAGAAAGUCUAUUCAAACCAGUUAAAAAGAAAGGAGUUUAUUAGGAGACUUUCCUGGUCCCUGAAAAAGCACAAGAAAUGAGUUAGGAGGCCACAAAACCAAGAGACUGCAGGAAUGAUACCUGGAUUGUCACAACAGAGAACUAUUUCAGCAAAACACCACAGUGUCCUGUUGCCCGGCCCCUAUGCCCUCAAGGACCGAUGGCCAGAAGCCCCACUCCCGUUGCCCUGACAGACCAGAGGUCUCGCCAUGUGCACAUCAAAACUACCAUCUCCCCAAACAUGGCCGCCCCUUCAAAUUGCUCCAGAUUAUCUGCUUCAUUUGCAUGUGUGCAUGCCAUAUGCCACCACCAACCGGUCUGUGAGUGCCCCAAUGGGAAGAAAACUGGUAUGGGGAAGAAAAUGAACAAAAACAAAAAACUAUGGGGCGCCUGGGUGGCUCAGUGGGUUAAGCGUCCAACUUCAGCUCAGGUCAUGAUCUCACACUCCGUGAGUUUGAGCCCCGCGUCAGGCUCUGUGCUGAUGCCUCGGAGCCUGGAGCCUGCUUCGGAUUCUGUGUCUCCGGCUCUCUCUGCCCCUCCCCCGCUUAUGCUCGGUCUCUCUCUCAAAAAUAUAUAAAACGUUAAAUAAUAAUAAUGUUAGUAAUUAGUAAUAAUAAAAGACCAUUUAAUAAAUAAUAAUGUAAUAAUCAUAAUUUAAUAAGAAUAACUUAAGUCAUAAUUUAAUUUAGUAGUGGGGUCUUCUGUUCUCAAAUCUCUCCCACAUUCUUCACUUAUGCUUUGAGAUUCACCUCAGAUACCACCUCCUCUUGAAGGACUCCUUGACCUCCCCCUUUCCUUCCAUGUUUAGAAACUAUGUUUUGGGGUUCAGGGCAGGGCACCCCACAAUAUUGGCAUAUUGAUUAUUUUGAAUUCAAGUUACUUGAGAAACAGCCAGUGCAAGAAGGACACUCUGGCCCUCCUGUCUGUCCCCCGCUCCUUUCUGCCUCGAGAAGUUGAGAGACAUCCUUAUCGCCAGAGAUAGGGAGUUCAAGGCCAAGAGGGUUGUGUAAACAACAUCUGCUUAGUGUCUUCAUUAAUUAUUAUCCAAGCUAAAGUUUUUGUCUUGUAGUUCUUUACCACUUUAUUGUUCCUUUGUCUACAAGGCAUAUAAACAUCUUGUUUUGGUCACUUCCUGGGCGUUGUAUCUUUGAGGCCCCAUACAUACAAAAUUAAAUUUGUUUUUCCCUUGUGAACCUGUUUUGUGUCCGUUUAAUUACUAAGGGUAGAAGGAAAGUUUCUCCGACAUAUGCUUAGCAUCCAUCAUCUGCGCCCCCCAAACACCUGUGCGUACCUGUAUCGUUGCACUUACCACACUGUUGUGAUGAACUGUUUACUUUCUAGGUGCAUUCGGACCAUGAACUCAAAGGCAGGGACCAUGGUUCAUUCAUCUCUGCAUCACAGAGCCUAGCCUGGAAUACGAUAUUGUUGGAGGAGGUCAGCAAGAGGACGUGACUGCAGGUUGACCCGUGAGCUGGACCCGGCAGUCGGAGGCUCCUCGCCUCCAAUCCUGUUCUUGGAAUAUACACUCCGCUGGCCUUCCUCACUUCCAGAGGCUUCCCCAAGGACACGGCCUUGAGAUAGGUGGUGAUGAGAACACCCACAUGGUGUACAUGACUGAGCCCAGGUAAAGCCUCCAUAUAAACUUCUAAGAUCUAGCCAGUGGUGCGGGGAUUAACUUGCUCCUCAGGACAAGCCUCAUAUGUAAAUUCCCUUGUUUAUUAAACCUGCCACCCACCGACCUGGAGUGGCCUGCCUCUUUCUCUGGUUUCCCCUUUCUUUCUGCUUGCAAGGCCAGUUUCAGAUUUCACCUGGGAAGCUCGGACAGGGUUGUGAACUAACUGUUGAGCCAGCCAGGACACUAAAGAAAUGGGCCUUGGGAGAAAGGUAUUCUACAGAACAAUCCUGAGUUGGCCAUCAAUUUCUGCGUGCGGGGCAUGGCGUCCCAUGGAUUAGAGGCUUGUGGACCACACGACACCUUGCAGGUGACACACUUACAAGGGAGAGAAUAGACAGUGAACCUACAGAAAAUUCAAGGCCCAGGCACUACCAUAAAGUCUUGGGAGUCAUUUGGUCAGGAUCUCAGGAGACAAGUAUUUAGCAUGUCUGUAUGAAGGAAAUGUACCACUCAUGACAGGGAUCCCAGGAGACAAGUAUUUAGCAUGUCUGUAUGAAGGAAAUGUACCACUCAUGACAGGGUG